rnacentral:rRNA from 1 species
GACGAACGCUGGCGGCGUGCUUAACACAUGCGAGUCGAACGGAAAGGCCCUGCUUUUGUGGGGUGCUCGAGUGGCGAACGGGUGAGUAACACGUGAGUAACCUGCCCUUGACUUUGGGAUAACUUCAGGAAACUGGGGCUAAUACCGGAUAGGAGCUCCUGCUGCAUGGUGGGGGUUGGAAAGUUUCGGCGGUUGGGGAUGGACUCGCGGCUUAUCAGCUUGUUGGUGGGGUAGUGGCUUACCAAGGCUUUGACGGGUAGCCGGCCUGAGAGGGUGACCGGCCCCAUUGGGACUGAGAUACGGCCCAGACUCCUACGGGAGGCAGCAGUGGGAAAUAUUGCACAAUGGGCGGAAGCCUGAUGCAGCAACGCCGCGUGCGGGAUGACGGCCUUCGGGUUGUAAACCGCUUUCGCCUGUGACGAAGCGUGAGUGACGGUAAUGGGUAAAGAAGCACCGGCUAACUACGUG